GAACUGCUGCAAAAAGACACCAUAAAGGUAACAGGACCCUUUAAACACUGUCAGAGCCUCCUUGCCUUAGCAUGGCCAGUUUACUCGUCCCUUUCGGUCUUUGAGGCCGCAGGUUUAGGGCUGGCUCUUUUCUGGGAGACUGUCUCCUGGGAAGGGCUGGUCCUCCCUUCUGCUCUUCCUCCUCCCGUUGUGUGUGUGCGCUGUUCUUGGAGGUACCUGUGGUGCCAGGUCCUCGAGGGCAGUUUUCUCCCUUCUCUUCCCUUUUCUGCUAAAGUCGUCUCCAUUAGAUUUGUAGUGCUAUGUGCAAACACGACUUUAUCAGUCCUUGUUAAGGCACGCCUCAUCUCUUGCCUCGAACCCACCAUUCUUGUAUCUUAAGCUGUGGGCCGUCAGGAAACGGCCUGUAUGGACUGAAUCCUCCUUUAUAAACUCAGUUUCUUGAGACUUCGGUGAUGGUGAAUUAUCUCCUUGCCACCCCUUGGGUAGGUUGAUAAAAUCAAGUCUUGGGCCCCAUGAUGGAAGGUCAGACCCUCGAACUAAACGGAGAUGCUGACUAUAAGGGGAUCAGAUCUGAGGGGCAAGCCAGCUUCCGUUUUAACUCUGACAUCUGCAGCAUCCUUCCCCUGCCCAAUACAUUGGAGCAAUGGGGGAAAAGCUGGGCCACACCUCAGAGAAUGAGGCUCCCUUCUCAGCUAUAUGCGCAGCAGGUGAGGGGCUCCCUGCCCUGGGACACAGUAGGAUACAGGGAGAGAGGGCUGCUGGCUUUGGAGUCGGAAGGAAGCUGGAGUCAUAUGGCCCUGACACUUAACCAGUUACACAUCCAAGGUAAGUCAUUUCCCAGUCUCUUUUCUUCAUCUAUAAAAUGGGGAGAACCCCAUCCUCAAGUAUAAAAUGGAGGUGUCCUAGGCACUAGGCCAAGGACCUUGGAAUCCUCUGCCUACUUCUCUUGAGGGUGAGGGAGAGGGUACCAAGCCCAGGACAAAGAAUUCAAACUUCCUGCUUCUGCUAUCUGCCUCAUCUGGGAAGAGAGCACCAGAUAAAUCUUAGGGAGCUACACAAAAAUGACUGUUUUAUUCCCUGGAGGAUAAGGAUCCCAGACAGAGGACCUGGGUUCAAAUCCAGGCUCUGCCACUUACUAUCCAGGGAACUUUUUUUUUUAACCCCUUACUUUCCAUCUUAGACUCAAUACUAUGCAUUGGUUCCAAGGCAGAAGAGUGGUAAGGGCUAGGCAAUGGGGGUCAAGUGACUUGCCCAGGGUCACUAGGAAGUGUUGAGGCUGGAUUUGAACCUAGGACAUCCCAUCUCUAGGUCUGGCUCUCAAUCCAUUGAGCUACCCAGCUGCCCCCAAUCCAGGGAAUUUUUAACAGCACACUCCAUCCUUUCUGGGCCUCUAUUUUGUUAUUUGUAAAAUAAGGGAGUUGGAUCUGAUGAUCUCUAAGGCCCCUUCCUUAAAUCUAUGGGGAUUUGACCAUAGUGUCCAGUUAUUGUUUUUUUUUUAAAUCUCAGCCCCAUAAUUCUUUGAGAAUCAAUCAAUUAAUUAACCAGCAGUUAUUAAACAUCUACUUUACAAAAGACAAUCCCUGGCUUCAAAAAGUUUAUGUUCUCCAGGGAGGAUACAAUAUGUUAAUUUUUUAUAGAUUUGAAAUAUUUUGAUAUAUUUGAAAGAUAUUUAUUUUUAAAUUCUAUUAUAUAAUAAUUAAAAAAUAAAAAUGUUGGGGGAGGCGAGAUGGUAGGAAGGUGGGGACUAAUGUUUGGAGGAAUUGAAAAAGGACUUAAGGGGGCAGCUGGGGGUUCACUGGAUAGAGAGCCGGGCCUGGGAUCUGGAAGAUUCAAAACUGGCCUCAAACAUUUUUUAGCUGUGUGACCCUGGGCAGAUCACUUAACCCCAGUUGCCUAGUCCUUACAGCUAUUUUGUCUUGGAACUGAUACAUAGUAUUGAUUUUAAAACAGAAGGUAAAAAGAGCUUAGAAACAAAAAGUCUGUUGAAGGGGCAGCUAGGCUCAGUGGAUAGAGAACUUGGCCUAGAAACAGAAGGUCCUGGGUUCAAAUAUGACCUCAGACACUUCCCAGCUGUGUGACCCUGGGAAAGUCACUUAACCCUUACUUCUCUUCUGCCUUGGAACCAAAAGGUAGUAUUGAUAUAAAGACAGAAGGUUUAAGAGUUUAAAAAAAAAAGGCCUUGGGAAGGAUGUAGCAGUUGAAAUACUCAUUGGUUAGAACUGCCUAGGAAAGCCCUGAGUUAUCCUGAGUGUGUGGGCAGAGGAAGAUUUCCUUCCUCCCACUCUAUUUUUUUGAACAUUUCUAACUCAUAUCCCUGGCCGCCGGAUUCCCUGACCACCUCGUCAUUGUGCCCUCCCCACUCAUCCUUUGCUUCCCAGGCCCCAGGCAGGAAGAUGGGCCUGGCUGAUGGCAGGCAGCCCCCUCCCUCCACAGGUGGUGACCUCCACUGCUCCGCUCCCAGCAAGCUCCACCCUGGGUACCUUUGGCCCCAUGGUUUUCUGUGUCCUCCUUAGGGGCAGAACAAAAGUGCUGAUGGCAUGGCUUCAAGAUGGAAGGGAGGAGAGGCUGGCCGUGACCCAGGCCCUGGGCCAAAGAUCUUGGAAUUCUCUGCCUCCUCCUUGAGGGGGUGUGAGAGGGUAAGAGCCUGGGACAACCCAUUCCAACCUGCGGCUCCUACAAGGUGGCUGUGGGAGGAGGACAGAGGAGGAGGAGAAUUUGGAACUGAAAAUAAAACUGAAUUUCAAAAGAAAAUUGAGGCCCUGGGGUUUUCUAAGGUACUAUUGACAGAGUUUUGCUCUUCUUUGGAGUAUCCUUAAAGCAAGGUGAGAAAGCUGAGUUCCAGAGAUGUGAGGUGGCUUGUUGAAGAUCCUACAGUGCGAGUUAAGGAAGUCUCCUGUGUCCCAGUUGAAGGCUGCUAUGAUAUAUUUAUGUUGGAAGUCUAAUGGCCUCUUCCUCUGAAGCCCCAUUAAAGAUUUCUUAUGAUAUUCCUGGUUCACUGGAUUUUCACCUUUUUGAAGAGAAAUGUGGGGGAUCCUGAUCACUCUCCAUUCAUGUGCUCCCCCCAAAUGCACCCAACUCAAGAGCAACCUUGCACCACUUCCUUAGCUUGUCCUUUAUGCAUUAUUGUACAUUAUUCUUGUCUGGGGUUAUAUUUUACCCCCAUAGGAGAUUCUGCAGGGGCUAGUCUUGAAUGAAUCUCUAUAUCUUCCAGAAUCCAAUACAAUAAACCCAUAGGAACAUAGAUUUCGAAUCAGAGGGGACAAUAAAGAUCAACUGGUCCAGCCCCCUUCAUUUUACAGUUGAGGAAAUUGAGGCCCAGAGAGCAAAAAAAGUCCUGCUUACAGCCCCACAGGUAGUAAAAAGCAGAUCUGAGAUCAUAGGAGAGGACCGUAACCAAAGGAGUUAGAGCCUCAGAAGUCUACCAUUCAUUAGUAAAUAAAA